GGAAGCGAUCAUACCAGCACUAAAGCACCGGAUCCCAUCAGAACUCCGUAGUUAAGCGUGCUUGGGUGAGAGUAGUACUAGGAUGGGUGACCUCCUGGGAAGUCCUCGUGUUGAAUUCC
rnacentral:rRNA from 1 species